CAAGAGCGUAUGUAAAAGUUGUUGCAGUUAAAAAGCUCGUAGUUGAACCUUGGGUUUGGUUGGCCGGUCCGCUUUUUUGCGAGUACUGGAUUCAACCGAGCCUUUCCUUCUGGCUAACCAGUCGUUUCGGCGGCUGGCGAACCAGGAUUUUUACUUUGAGAAAAUUAGAGUGUUCAAAGCAGGCAUUAGCCUGAAUAUAUUAGCAUGGAAUAAUAGAAUAGGACGUUAUGGUUCUAUUUUGUUGGUUUCUAGGACCAUCGUAAUGAUUAAUAGGGACGGUCGGGGGCAUCAGUAUUCAGUUGUCAGAGGUGAAAUUCUUGGAUUUACUGAAGACUAACUACUGCGAAAGCAUUUGCCAAGGACGUUUUCAUUAA
rnacentral:rRNA from 1 species